rnacentral:tRNA from 1 species
CGCGGCGUAGCUCAUUGGUAGAGUUGGCGGUCGGUAACCGUCAGUUAGUUGGUUCGAUUCCAAUCGUCCCCG